GGUUCGGUAGCUCAGUUGGUAGAGCACUUGGGUGAAAUUCAGGGUGUCGGCAGUUCGAUUCUGCCUCGAACCA
rnacentral:tRNA from 2 species